AGAUGGGACUUCUUUAUCACAUGACGAUAACCUGAUACAUCGGUCCCAUGACUGUGACCACGUGACAAGGAGACACCGUCACAACUGAGCGAGGUACAAAAGCCGACAAGAAAGAGACACGGUGAUUGGUAACUUUUAACGGUUCCAUUAAUCAAAGCAUGAGCUACCAGAACCUCCCCAACAACUACGGCUCCGGAGGAGCACCUCCCCCUGGGGUCUACUACCAACAACCCCAGCCUCAAACUAACACUGUGUACGUUGUGCGCGACGACCACCACCAUCAUCACCACGACCACCACGAUCACCAUCGUCAUGAGGAAGAGGUUGCUGCCGAUUGUUGCCUCUUGGCCUGCUGUUGGACGGUUCUGUGUUGUUGCCUAGCAGCUAACUGAUCAGCUGGAAACACACGGUGACUGCCAGCCAAUCAUAAACUGUUCUGAAAUUCAUCAUGCGCAGCGGACCUUAUUCCGUCGCAAUAGCUGGAAAUGACGUUACCUAAAUAGAGAGCUUGAGUACUGAUCCAUUCUCACACAUGUGUUACAUAUGGGAAGUACAUGUAAUUAUUUUGUGCUUUUACAAUUAACUAUUUCAUGACAGAAAAAUUGAUGUAUGUAUAUAUAUAUUACUAUAUAUAUAUUACAAAAAGUGUUUGGUUUUGAAAGUUUUGGUCAGUUUGUAAAGAAAAGAAUUCAAUUACAGUAAAAAGUCUGAACGAUCCAUUCAACGAUGUUUUUCAACCAACCAGAAUGUAGCAUGCAUUCCCAUUCAUUGUACAGUUUAUGUUCAUGUGUGUAACCCCUUGUAUAUACUUGAUAUGAUCAUGUAAAUAUUCUAAUCUUCUCGUCACUUUGACUAGCUUGAGCUAUUGCGUGGAUACGAUGUUAGGAACACCCUAUAUAAAUCGUUUUCAUACGAGAUAAUUUUGACUACGCAUCUUCCCAUAGUCUGUGUGGAUCUAGACGGUGAUACAUUGUCAUGUGUUACAUUGUAGGACAGUAAUUAACUUAUAGAUUCAUACACAUGAUACAAUAUAAGCAAGCUGAUAAAAUAUCUAAGAUAACAGCUAGUUGGCCCAAACGAAGAAAUACUUGUAAUCGGAUUUUUGAUGAGCUUAUCUAAUUUCUAAUUGUAUAUUACAACUGCCAAAGCUAAAAGGGAAAUGAUAUAUUCAGGUAUGAGCUCUGCCUGUUGUUUCUAUAUUGUUUAGAGCCUCUGUUGGUAAACACACACCUCGUUAUUACUUAAUAAACACAUUCAAGGUUGGUGGUGUUUAGUUUUCACUGCAUAGAGGGGGCGGUUGUGCAAAACAACCUUAGCGCUAAUACUGUCGUAAGUCUUUGUUAGGUGUGGGACUAACGAUUACCUUAGCGCUAAGACUGUAGUAAUUAUAAGUCUUUGUUAGGUAUGGGAGUAACGA